rnacentral:rRNA from 1 species
GACGAACGCUGGCGGCGUGCUUAACACAUGCAAGUCGAACGGAAAGGCCCUGCUUUUGUGGGGUGCUCGAGUGGCGAACGGGUGAGUAACACGUGAGUAACCUGCCCUUGACUUUGGGAUAACUUCAGGAAACUGGGGCUAAUACCGGAUAGGAGCUCCCGCUGCAUGGUGGGGGUUGGAAAGUCUCGGCGGUUGGGGAUGGACUCGCGGCUUAUCAGCUUGUUGGUGGGGUAGUGGCUUACCAAGGCUUUGGCGGGUAGCCGGCCUGGGAGGGUGGCCGGCCACAUUGGGACUGAGAUACGGCCCAGACUCCUACGGGAGGCAGCAGUGGGGAAUAUUGCACAAUGGGCGGAAGCCUGAUGCAGCAACGCCGCGUGCGGGAUGACGGCCUUCGGGUUGUAAACCGCUUUCGCCUGUGACGAAGCGUGAGUGACGGUAAUGGGUAAAGAAGCACCGGCUAACUACGUG